AGAUGUGUGAGGAGAGACACCAAAAAGCAGAGCUCUGCAGGGACUCUUGCCAGAGACUGGGUGGAAGCAGUAGGGGCUGCUGGCUCUUCCCAGGCUGAGCCCAUGGAGGGAUGGCACAGCUUGAUAAAUGCCUGCAGACACACUACGAGCGUGGGCAGCAGUGUGGGAGGGAAACAAGAGCCUUUUUGUGGGUACCAGAUAGAGAGCUGAUGGUAGGCUGCAAUAUCUGGUCAGGCAGAGCUCAGAGCAAAUGCCUGCUUGCAUAGUGUCCUGUUGCCUCCAGGGAUGACAGUGUCUCUAUCCAUCACUUUCUGAGUUCUGCAGGAUUAAGAGAUGCUCCUGGUGAAGGAAAUUGGACCAGCUGGGUGCUACUUACUGUGCUUUGAUGGUUUUAGUCAGUGUGCCAGGGUGAGAAGGAAGAAAGGGACCCAGGAAACUCAACUGCUGUGAAUUUUGCAUGGACCUCUGUGUUCAGGUAUGUUCUGCAUCUUGGAAGGAGGAGUGGAUGGAGAGGAUUCAGCAGAGCAAACCAACAGCAAACAGGUCACUGCAACACUCCUGGCUGCCAACGGAGCCAAGAAAAAAAGAACCACCACAAUCUAGAGAGGCUGGAAAAAGGCCCAUGUAAUCCUUUCUCAGUGGGACACAAGAAGAAACAGAAAUCAAAGCCUCUGGACACAGUUUCCCCAACUCAGCUUCUGGAGCCUGGAUCAGCAGUUUUCAGAGGAUAGAAAAGGAAGCUUGAGUUAUGCUCCUCUUUCUGUGCAUGGAAAUAAUAAAAUGAAGGGUAAAGCCAAGCAUCAGUCAUACAGCAAACUGCAAACUGGCAGCAUUUCCCAGAAAUUGAAGCAAAUGCAAAAUACUUUGGUUUUGGGGUUAAGUACGUGUCACUUAGAUAUAAAUUCUGCCAUGUGCACCAUUUGUUAAAGCCUCUGUCACACAAACCCAGCUCUUUUCCAGCACAUGCUCACAGCAGGGCUGAGGUACUUAACAGCUUCUAACAAGGACAAUUUACCUGGUGGGAUGUAGCCUAGUGAAUUGCAAGACCUACUUUAUGGAAUAAGCCACAGAGCACAUGAAGUAUCGAUGUGAAGGGCACACGCAGCACGUCAGGAGUCAGCACACAGGUUCCCUUUUAAGGCAGUAUGGCACUGGACCAAAAUAAAAUGAUGGUUUUCCUCCAUGAGAGGAGCAACACAGAGAGAGAGAAUUUUUCUUUGCCUUCCUCCAUGACUAAAGCUCUCAGACCCACGGUCCUCCCUUGCUGUAUGAGGGAAAAGGUGCCAUGCAGAGCUCCAGGUGACAGUGACCCUUCUCCUCCAAGGGUGCAAGGGCCGUCCUGUCCCAGGCUCCCCCUGUGGGAUCAUUCUGUCUCUCAGCACAUUUGGCCAAAGCAGGUUCAAACUCCACAACUAUAGAAACAUCCACCCUAGUCACAAGGAUAGUAAACAGUCUUUCAUUUCCAGCUUGGUUUUUUGGAUUCACUCCCAUUCUUAUACCCACGCAGAAAAAGAGCUCUUGUGCUUCACAUUCUGAAUGUGUGAUCCUUGGCCUCAUAGCUGUCACAUGGACAUUUUUGUGCUCAAGAAGCUGCUCCUAGGAUGCUAUUUGAUGCCAAGGAACUCUAAGUUUAACCUGAAGAAGAUCUCUAUGUGAAAGAGGUGGAAAAUUCCUGUAGAAGAAACUAAAAGUAAUUUUUUUCCUCCUAACUGACUCCUAGCUGAAGCAUCUCUUGGGCAGCCAGUUCCAACAUGCAAAGCUAUGUCCAAAAAAAUAAUAAAUCCUAGGAAUGACAAUGGGCUUAGAAACCUGCUUGGUGCACGAAGCAGAUAACUAGUGUUCACUUAUACCACAGAAGGUGACAUACUUUGGUGUUUUAGUUGCCUGUGGUGUUGCUAUAAUCAGUUUUCCCUCUGCAGGGAAAAAAAUUAAAGUAUUUCUGUGGAAUAGCUUUUUCUCCAAAAGCAGAGGAAAGCAAGCAAGCGUUCAGAAAUGUAGCCUGGGGGGCAGCAUGAGUGCUUCUGACAGUGCUAAGAACAAAGACAUUGUAAACUACAAAGCUCUUCACUUGGUAUCAGUAUUCCUGCCAGAAACCCUCUGGAUUUACCUGUAAGCAGUAAUUACAGUAUGGGAAAGGAUGUGUUUAUUCCGCUGUAUACCUGACCAGAUAGAAAGGAGCCCAGCUCUGGAAACAUCUCACAAGUACAUUUAUUAGUCAGGACCAAUCUGUCUCAAAGCAUGACGCAUUUCAUACCCCAAAUGGCAUUUCAUUACAGUGCAGCUGCACAAGCCUCUGUUCUCCCUGACCAGAUCCUUGAUUUGCCAGGGCAGAGGGUAGCACAGCCCUUAUUUACACACAUCGCUUCCUGGAUUUGUUUAGGUUUGAGCACAGGAGUUCAAGAGAAGUCUUUGGUUUUGUCCUAAUCAUUUGAAAAGCUUCUUUCUUUUCUUUCUCCACUGUUUAUUGUCCCCAUCUUCAGUAUCAUCAGGAGGGUCUGGCAUUACAAAGCCAUCAGUCAUUUUAUAAUAGACUAUUGUGGAAUCUGUCUCAACUAUGGCCAAGGUAACUGACAGCGGGGUGUCAGGAUCCUCUGGAGGGAGAGAGGCUUCUUUCAGUAUUUCCCUUAACCUAGAAAAAGAAAAAAAUUCAGUUAGAAAGGAGUCCACAACCACCUGUGAUGGCACAAAGGCAGAAGUGCACAAUUGCUAUUUUUAUUCAGCCUAGUUUUAUUCUGCAAACUUGUCUCCACUAAAGAAAACAUCGUAUCUGUUCUAAUAAAAUCCCAAAUUCAUAUAAUCAAGAAACAAUAGAAAAUAACAGAGAAUCUUAUACAAAUAUACCGGUUUCAUACAUUUCUGCUGGAAAUGGCACAACACACACUUCUAAGCUUUCCUUAGGUGCAUUCCUGUGCACGUGCCUCAGCCAUCCUUCAACUACCACAAUCCUAGCAUGGCAAUCUCUAAUGGCCCUGUUUUCAUUAGGCUAAAAUAAAAAAUCUAAUUAAAUAACACCUGGUGUUCAAUUAGAGAACUAAAUAAUUAAGACUUGAUCCAUCUGUAGAGGCAAGUCUUCCAGUCUCUGUGCCACAGUUCUCUGCCAGACUGUGGAAGACCCAGGAGCCCAAGCCAGGUUUCUCUACCUCCCUGUCUAGACUAGAAGCCACAAGACUAAUGUCCUUCAGGACAGUCAGCAUAAAUAAUGUCUGCUUUAAAAAUUCAAGACGAAGUUAUGCAAUUUUUCCUGUUUAGCUUAUUUUAAGAGUAAUAUGGCAGUUACUUUUCGGUUCAGAGCUGAGGACAACAUUGAUCCCUGGAGUCUUUAGAUUCCUGGCACGACUGGGGAACAAGUACUGAGGAAGAGUGGUGCCCAGGGGCAGAACAAUAAAAAACCCCACCCCGAGAUUUCCACAGGAAGCUUCCUCCUUCAUCCAGAGGGCUUGUCUGGAAUUGCUGGAAGAGGUUAUGCUCUGGGAACAGGUCAGCUACGCACUGGGAAAAACCACCCUCGCUUCACGUGCCCUGGAGAUCUCCCCCACCAGAAGACAUGCAUUUCUGAAGCUGGACACUGCAGCUGAAAAUAAGGCUCUUUCUAAAUGCAUCAGCUUUCAAACUUUAAUCAUCAUCUUCCUUCGAAACCUCUUUGAUCCCUUAAUAAAAGCCAAAUGGAAGGCGGCAGAGAAUAAAGAGCAGCCUGGAAAGCCUGCAUUGUUAAGCCCGUGACCUUCUUAAGAUCCAUCUGUGUUCUGAACUGUGCAUAAUUCGGCCUGGCUAAAUCCAGGACUGCCUUGCCUUUUGCUUUCACCACUGGCCCACACAUAAAGCAAGGCAAUACAAUAUAGGCAGUGAUUGCAUGCAACAGGGAUACUGUGGCUGUGAAAAGCUACAGUCUGGCUCUCCUACAACAGCACACUUCAUAACAACUGAACAAAUAAGGUAAGAAAGACUGUACUGUACUGGCCACCUGGGCACCUUCUGCUCCUGUCACUUCCAGCCCCUGUUCAGGGGUACACAGCAAGAAUCCACUUGUCACACACGGAGUCAUGGAAUGAUUUGGGUUGGCAGUGACCUUAAAGGUAAUCCAGUUCCAACACCCCUGCCGUGGGCAGGGACACCUUCCACUAUCCCAGGUCACUCCAAGCCCCAUCCAACCUGGCCUUGGACACUUCCAGGGAUCCAGGGGCAGCCACAGCUUCUCUGGGCAACCAGGGCCCAGUGCCAGGGCCUCCCCACCCUCACACCUCACCACCAAGUGUCUGGAGGAAGCUCUGAAUAAAUUGGUGAGGCCAGACAACUGGCAGAGACCCACUGAGGAAAGAACUAUCCAUGGUUUUUAGGAAGCAAUGGAUAUUAAUCUCUCUCCUUCUCCUGGGAACAUGAUAAAGAAUUAACAAUAAAAGACCCAAUAAGAGGACACAGCUACCCACAAAAGAUAUUUUGGGAGCCAAAGAAACCAAACUGGUGUUGAGUGUGGACAGUCCCAUAUCUGGGAGCAGACUCAGGCAGUGUCUGUAUUCACCUGUCAGCCAGGGCUGAAGUUCCUUCCUAUUUUCUUUAGUACUUAUCACCAUUUCUCCUCCUAGUCUACUGGGGGAUGGAUGGAACACUGAGGCCUUAGAUCUAGAUUUCUGAUCAUUCAUGAUUUCUCCUUACACUGCAAGAUAAACUCCUUAUACCAAGCACCAACAUCUGCACCUUUAUUUGCCCCCAUUUAGAAGAUGCACCAUGACCCAAACGCGGCCAGGUCCUGAUAACAGAUUAACCACGUUUCUUUGCAUCCCUGACUUACUUUUCAGGAGACCAAGUUCCAGGGUUCAUGUAAAGGGUACAAAGCCAUGCCACUGCCUCAGGAUGAUCUGCUAAGUGCUGUCCCCAGAGUCCAGUGCUUUCCACUGCACAUGGGGAAUCAGCUGCUAUCGCCAUAAGGAAUUACAACUGCUAAUGCAGUUUUCCUCUUUCCCAUUCUCUCAAACAGGCAACCCAAACCAAGAGCUCUCAUUUGUGCAUACCACAACCAGCAUAAUGCAAUGCAGCACAUCUGCAGACUGGUGAGAGGGUAUCUUUUAGAAGAAUAAGCUUUGGAAUUCAGGAAGUCUGUAUCAGAUGCCGCUGUCCCUUCCUCUCCUCCCCUGAAGGCAUCACCGUCAGCCUCUGUGUCCAGCGUGUUCACAACAUUUCUCUGCACCAGCAGACAUUUCAAAGGAGUCAGAGAACAUCUGGGUUCUGAUUUCAGUGCACUUGCUACCUGCCAUAAACAGGAAGAUGAAAUAUUGCAGGAAUGGUAUAGCUUUUUGAUGUAUCUAACACCGUUUAGGGGGAAAAAAAGGCAAGAAGUGUUGUUGGCCUCCUGAAAUUCAAAGAAUGCAAGUUUGACCUUCUAAACAAGGCAAGAAGCCUUUAAUUUAAGAGAUACAGCUCUCAAGGCUGCCCACCUCACACAACAGUUGUAUUCAAUGACUGAAAUGAAGCCCUAGACAAGAAGCCGGUGUGUUAACACCCCCAACAGAGCCAACUGAUUUCAGUUACAAGUUCAUGGUUAUAAAUAAGCUCCUUAAUGACCAGUACACCUGCUGUACCAUACAGGUGAUGUCAGUUAUAAAAGACGGGGUUUGCUUUAAUAAAAGUUGAUUUAAUGUUUCUGAAAAUGUCAAACAUGAGAAGCCUCUGGAACAGAGGAAACCAAUACAUCCAGCAGAAUGUACCAUGUCACUUUGUCACCUCCUGAGGGACACAAUACUCCAUCACCUGAGCACGUGUUCAUCCAUAGGCUCAGCCUGGCUAGGGAGAUCAGGGGCAGUCAACCCUAUCCAUGCCAACUUCUCAGGAUUUAUGACAAUAACUACCUGGUUGGGGGGGAAAAAAAAAAAUCUAGAGCCCCAGGAGAGCACACAGAACAAUCAGUCAUGAAUGUUCCUGCAAUGCACAGGGAGAAGUCUGAGCUAAAAUACCCUGCCAACCACUCCUUUCCCUUCUCUCUCCCUCCUCAGGAAGAAAAGCCAAGUAAAGUGAGUAAGUUCAGAAGUUCCAGAAGUUUCAGGUUUCCCACACAAAAAGGUAAGCCUUGAACAAAGGCACCGUGAAAGGAAAAUAACAUAUAGAAGCUAGGGGAAUACAGACAUCAUAAGAAUUACUGGAAAAGUCUUAUUUAAGUCCCAUAAGUAGAAUAAGAUUAAGUAUUUUUUAAUAAGUAUUCUCAUCUGUUACAGAUCAUGCAGUCCAAGGCUUCCAAUAUAGCCUAAAAACCCAUUUCUAAAGACUGAUGGUGCCUCCAUGUUCACUACAAUCCAGAAUCUGCUCCCAAAAAGCCAAAUGCAAGCAGGACAAAGCCCUCAUUUUUCACCCGGGAAGCAAACUCACAUUCACCUCACAUUGCAGAAGAUGCAAAGGAGUUCACCUCACACAGUGAAGGGGACACUUAUCCAAAGUAAAGAGCUGGCAUUUCUAAAGCACUUUGCAUCAGAAAAAGGGCUUGGAAAAGCUUUUCUAGAAAACUACAAACUACUGUCAAUAGAGGUUGCUUUUUUCCUACCAAAGGAUUAGUCUUAAGAGCAAGUGUAACUUACUUAACAUCAUGCAAGGACCACUCAAGUGAAUGUAACAGCACUGUAAAUGUUACCUGUAUCUGCCUUUACUAAAUGGCAACAGUGAGCUUACCUGGUCUUCUAUUACUGUUGUAAUUAAUACCUUAAAACCAAACCAAAACCCAACAACAAAACAAAGAAAUCCAUACCAAUCCAUCCAAAGAGAUGAGAGGAAUUUUCCAUCUUUCCCCUAUCUUGGUACUAAAGUAGGCCUUCAACACCCAUCAGAAAUCUGUGCUGUCUCUCCUAAUGAUCUGCUCCUAAGAAAACACUGCCCUUCUCUCCCCAGAGAAAGAACCAGGUGUACAGCUGGGGACUCUGAGGCAGCUGUAGCUUGAGGUUUCAAAUCACUGCCCAAAAACUAAGAAGAGAAUCAUAAAGGAAAGACAGCACAAGCAGAAAGUUUUGUGAUGAACAAAAGAGCAUUUCAUUGCCACAUCCCAUGCAAGCACCUCUGAGAAGCAGCGUAACACUGAAAGCUCAGAGCAGUUUUAUGGAGGUUGCAUAGUGCUCCAUUGAGUUGAAAUGGAACUACUGCCUUCCAUCCCAUAAAAGCCAAAGGCUUUCAAUCUGCCCUUUAUACUUGGAUGAAUAAUUCAUUGCAGGCUUGGCCAGCCCCAACCGCUCCCUCCCCUCCACCCAAGGCAGGGCUGCAGAGUCAACACAAGUUGGUCUCUGUGCCACUAGCAGAGAUCAUUACUCGGUGCACUGGAGCAUGCCAUUGUACCACACUGGGUCAGCACCAAGCAGGGGAAACCUCCCAGGAAGCACAAUUCCUUGAAUUUAGCCAGCACAGCUCCCCAUCAGGAACGCUGCUCCAGGCCCAGCUGCAGGGGAGGCAGCAAGAUUAACCCAGUGCCUUGAAAGAUGUGAGAAGGAGCACAUGGUGGUGGGAGAAGGUGUAAAAGGACACCACUAUUCCUUGGGGCUUGUUUCCAGAUUACAGGAAUGGGGAAUGCUAGAAGAAACUCAGCUUUUUGUAAUUGGAAAAAAAAACCUACAAAGCAAAGCAAACACCAUGUUCACACUGGUCAGGAAAAGGAGUUGAAACCCUGAGGAAUAUAAAGACUUUUUCUCCACGGAAGUUGAAGACAAACCACGCAAAAUGGAGGAAUCAGAAUUCAGCAAAGUCCUACAAGACACACCAACUACAGCACAUUCACUCACAACACUGUAUAACCAACUCUGCUGUAAGAGGCACAUCGAUCCCAAAUAAAAUACUAAUAAAGAGUCUGCAUUUAGGAGCCUUUAA